GGCAAAUGCACUCUGUGUCACAUUGAAUAAUAGCCACGUGUGAUGACAAUUUGUUAGUUUGCCAUAUUAAAGAAGUGUGUCUUAUCCAUGUAAUCUAGCUCUUAUAUGGGCGAUUACAUUGAAAACUCAUUUUACAUUUA